rnacentral:rRNA from 1 species
AUUGAACGCUGGCGGCAGGCCUAACACAUGCAAGUCGAACGAGUGGCGGACGGGUGAGUAAUGUCUGGGAAACUGCCUGAUGGAGGGGGAUAACUACUGGAAACGGUAGCUAAUACCGCAUACCAUCGGAUGUGCCCAGGUGGGAUUAGCUAGUAGGUGGGGGAAAGGCUCACCUAGGCGACGAUCCCUAGCUGGUCUGAGAGGAUGACCAGCCACACUGGGACUGAGACACGGUCCAGACUCCUACGGGAGGCAGCAGUGGGGAAUAUUGCACAAUGGGCGCAACCCUGAUGCAGCCAUGCCGCGUGUAUGAAGAAGGCCUUCGGGUUGUAAAGUACUUUCAGCGGGGAGGCGUUACCCGCAGAAGAAGCACCGGCUAACUCCGUGCCAGCCGCCGCGGUAAUUC